rnacentral:lncRNA from 1 species
GGCUUUUUACCAUUAUGUUAAGGAUCAUUCAGAAGGAAGUAAAGUAUGCAAGUAAUUCUCUUCCCUUAAGGAGUGAACGUGUAAUAAAGCCACUUAUGUUCACACUCUGCCUAUAUCGCUCCAGAGCCAUCCUCAGUCUUUGGUCACUCGAUGAAAUCCAGCACUUCACUGAAGAAGGGACAGCAAGGGAGUGUUGCCAAAUCCUGAGGGUUCAAGCUUGACUGGUUCAAGGGACAAGAAGCAAUAUUUCCUGAAACAAAAAGCUGAAAGAUAACUCCACACCUUUGCCCACAAUGAU